rnacentral:rRNA from 1 species
GACGAACGCUGGCGGCGUGCUUAACACAUGCAAGUCGAACGGAAAGGCCCUGCUUUUGUGGGGUGCUCGAGUGGCGAACGGGUGAGUAACACGUGAGUAACCUGCCCUUGACUUUGGGAUAACUUCAGGAAACUGGGGAUAAUACCGGAUAGGCGAUUCUGCUGCAUGGGGGGGGUUGGAAAGUUUCGGCGGUUGGGGAUGGGCUCGCGGCUUAUCAGCUUGUUGGUGGGGUAGUGGCUUACCAAGGCUUUGACGGGUAGCCGGCCUGGGAGGGUGACCGGCCACAUUGGGACUGAGAUACGGCCCAGACUCCUACGGGAGGCAGCAGUGGGGAAUAUUGCACAAUGGGCGGAAGCCUGAUGCAGCGACGCCGCGUGCGGGAUGACGGCCUUCGGGUUGUAAACCGCUUUCGCCUGUGACGAAGCUUGUGUGACGGUAAUGGGUAAAGAAGCACCGGCUAACUACGUG